rnacentral:rRNA from 1 species
GGGAAUAUUGCACAAUGGGCGCAAGCCUGAUGCAGCCAUGCCGCGUGUGUGAAGAAGGCCUUCGGGUUGUAAAGCACUUUCAGCGAGGAGGAAGGCGUUAAGGUUAAUAACCUUAGCGAUUGACGUUACUCGCAGAAGAAGCACCGGCUAACUCCGUGCCAGCAGCCGCGGUAAUACGGAGGGUGCAAGCGUUAAUCGGAAUUACUGGGCGUAAAGCGCACGCAGGCGGUUUGUUAAGUCAGAUGUGAAAUCCCCGAGCUUAACUUGGGAACUGCAUUUGAAACUGGCAAGCUAGAGUCUUGUAGAGGGGGGUAGAAUUCCAGGUGUAGCGGUGAAAUGCGUAGAGAUCUGGAGGAAUACCGGUGGCGAAGGCGGCCCCCCUGGACAAAGACUGACGCUCAGGUGC